UACGUAGGAGGCGAGCGUUAUCCGGAUUUAUUGGGCGUAAGGAGCGCGUAGGCGGCUUUUCAAGUCGGAUGUAAAAUCUCCUGGCUUAACUGGGAGGGACCAUUCGAUACUGUUAAGCUGGAGGGCAGCAGAGGAAGAUGGAAUUCCCGGUGUAGUGGUGAAAUGCGUAGAUAUCGGGAGGAACACCAGUGGCGAAGGCGGUCUUCUGGGCUGUUCCUGACGCUGAGGCGCGAAAGCGUGGGGAG
rnacentral:rRNA from 1 species